GCCUGGGUGGCUUAGUUGGUUAAGUGUCCGACUUCAGCUCAGGUCACGAUCUCGCGGUCCGUGAGUUCGAGCCCCGCAUCAGGCU
rnacentral:tRNA from 1 species